rnacentral:rRNA from 1 species
UUUAAAUUGAGAGUUUGAUCCUGGCUCAGGACGACCGCUGGCGGCGUGCCUAACACAUGCAAGUCGAGCGAUGAAACUUCCUUCGGGGAGUGGAUUAGCGGCGGACGGGUGAGUAACACGUGGGUAACCUGCCUCAAAGAGGGGGAUAGCCUUCCGAAAGGGAGAUUAAUACCGCAUAACAUUAUUUUAUGGCAUCAUAGAAUAAUCAAAGGAGCAAUCCGCUUUGAGAUGGACCCGCGGCGCAUUAGCUAGUUGGUGAGGUAAGGGCUCACCAAGGCGACGAUGCGUAGCCGACCUGAGAGGGUGAUCGGCCACAUUGGAACUGAGACACGGUCCAGACUCCUACGGGAGGCAGCAGUGGGGAAUAUUGCGCAAUGGGGGAAACCCUGACGCAGCAACGCCGCGUGAGUGAUGAAGGUUUUCGGAUCGUAAAACUCUGUCUUUAGGGACGAUAAUGACGGUACCUAAGGAGGAAGCCACGGCUAACUACGUGCCAGCAGCCGCGGUAAUACGUAGGUGGCAAGCGUUGUCCGGAUUUACUGGGCGUAAAGAGUAUGUAGGUGGGUGCUUAAGUCAGAUGUGAAAUUCCCGGGCUUAACCUGGGCGCUGCAUUUGAAACUGGGCAUCUAGAGUGCAGGAGAGGAAAGUGGAAUUCCUAGUGUAGCGGUGAAAUGCGUAGAGAUUAGGAAGAACACCAGUGGC